ensembl:snRNA U6 U6 spliceosomal RNA
GUGCUCACUUUGACAGGACAUGUACUAAAAUUGGAAUCACACAGAGAAGAUUAGCAUGGCUCCUGUGCAAGAAUGACACACAAAUUCAGGAAGAACUCCUUAUUUUA